rnacentral:piRNA from 1 species
UGCCUUAUAUUGUGUGAAUGGUGGCUUUC